AGCUUUGCACAGUGGCAGUAUCGUAGCCAAUGAGGUUUAUCUGAGGCACGAUUAUUGUUAAAACUUUUCCCAAUACCCUGUCAUGACGACUUGAAAUAUACUCGGCAUUGGCAAUUUUUGACAGUCUCUAUGGAGA